UCCGCAGAAUUGCACACAGUACUCCAAGUGUGGUCUAACAAGAGUAUUGUAUAAGGUCAUUUAUGUAAAUGAGGAAGAGCAGUGGCCCCAGCACCGAUCCAUAUGGGACUCCCACAAUACCCUGCUUGUCCUGCAAUCAAGAAUUUGCUCCCAGUCUAUCUAUCCAUCCAUCCAUCCAUCCAUCCAUCCAUUACCCCGAACAGGGUCGCAGGGGGGCUGGAGCCUAUCCCAGCAUACAUUGGGCGAAAGGCAGGAAUACAC